ensembl:lncRNA
GGCUCAGGGCAGGAGGAAACCCCUCCCUUGGGUGUCUGCAGCGUGGGGAGCCCACUGGUUCAAUUCAUAGUGAAAAGUGGGGCUGGGGUUUGUACUCUUUCCAGAAAUCCGCCUUGGUCUGAGGGUGCCCUGAUGCUGUAGGGCUUGUCCCGUGCACCCCAUACACCUUAUGGUGGGCUCGAGAGCUAAUGGAGGGAAUUGAACCAUGCACAGCCUAGCCAAGAUGAUGAAUUGGGAGCAUAAAGGUUGGGCUGCAGUGGGAAACCACUCGCUGCAGUGAUUUGCUCUUCGGUCAGCAGCGAGCAGCAGGCUCUGCCACCCUGCAGAAGGCUCUCAGCAUGGGGAGAAACUGGGGGACCCAAAGGAGAGGCAUUCUUGGUAUAGGGGCUACAAAUGGUGAGCUGGAUCUGCGCCGGAGCAGCCAUGUCCAGCUCCACGGGAUUGUGCAGUGCACAGGAAUUUGUCACUCUGCAACCCUCCUCCUAUGCUGGGCUGCCUCGAGCUCCCACAGCUCCCACUUCUGCUGGGGGAGAAGUCAGGAGAGCUGCUCCCAUCACAGGCUUGAGUACCGCAGCAGGACAGAGACCUCACCUCACCCCAUCCCUCCCCUGCUGGUCUGUAGGGAACAGGAAAACGUGGUCAGAGCAGCAAACACCAGGCAGAGCUGCUGCUGCUGCCCGUGGGCUGCAGGGGGAAUUUUAGUAAAGCACUGCUCCAGGCUGGCUGUGACCUCAGAGAUCGAUACACAUCCUCAUUUCUGGCACUGCUCCUCGUGCCACCCUAAUGCAGAUGAAAAGUGCAACCAGGCAAUGGUGCCUUGAGUUCCCUCUGAAGCAAGCUUGCUGCUUUAAUCCUGGUCUUUUCAGCAUAGGAUAAGGCCUCCUUUGGGGAACAUCAGAAGAGCACCAUCACCUGCUGUGUGCUCGCUUUCAUCCACGCACUGGAAAAGGAGCAGGAGAGCUCACCAUCACCUCUGGCCCCAGCUGUGUUUUGGGAGCUGCAGGAGCAAGCACUGACCCCAGAUCUGCUCAGACCCAAGUACAUUGCAGCCAGGAAUGCUGCUGUCCCCUUGUCCCACAGCACGGCCACCUAUAAGCUGCUCUCAGCUGCUGUCACCCUCAGACUGAAUCAGUGUCAGUGCCUUGCAAAGCCUGAAAACCCACACUGUGAGCAGCAGCAUUAAGGGGUGGCAGCCACCCAAUUCCAGCCCUCGGCAUAUUGCAUCCGUUUCCUGGAGGGUGUUUAACUUCUAAAUCUAAGCUCCUAAACAAGUAAUAGCAGCAAGUGGCAGCACCCGGCUCCCAACCUGCGAGUGGCAUUUCGGGGGCCAGGCCGCCAUCAGCACGAGCAAUGGGAAAUUUCUCAAACGUCUCUUUGAUUUAUGGCUCUUGUUAAUUCUCCAGGAGCCCCGCGAGCCGCCCUGGGUGCAUGGAACCUCGGAGGGAUAAAUAAUUUAACAGGUGGUUAAAUAUUCCUUAAGGUGCAGAGAACAUGGGCAGGAGCACGGAUUUCAGGGGAUAACACAAAACUACAAAUUGGGUGGAUGAGGUGGGGGGGAGGCGGUCUGAACUCGGCAUUGCUGUCGGCUGGUGGCUGCAAAACAGCAGUAGGACAGGGGCAGCAGGAUGGCAGAGCCAUGGGAGGGAAAGGACAGGGCCACCCCACUGCUGCUGCAUUGUCACCCAGCAGGGAUCGGAGAAUGGCUUGGGUUGAAAGGGAUCUGAAAGGUCUUCUACCCCCUGUGCAGGAUGGAGAGCUGGGAGCAGGUUUGGCUGCAGGUAUAGGGGAAAACCCCACCCAGAUGUGCAGUGUGGGCCAGCCAAAAAACAGUGAAAUGGGGAAAACAGAGGGAACAGUCUGCUGCCCUCGGAGGCCCUGCUGGAACAACACCUGGUUUGGUGGCAGAUGAUGGGUGAAGCAGGAUGUCUGGGGAUGGUUUACCCCCCCAAGUCAUAGAGGUUAGAAUGCAUCAACCCCAUGCACUGAAGGGGAGAAGGCAGCCUUGGGGGCAGUGCUGCUUGAGGACCAUGUUGCAAGAGCCACCACUUGGUGACCAAAGCAAAGCAGAAGGACAGAGGCAGACGGGAGGACCAAGAAGCCCAAGUGCUGCCAUUGCAAGACUCCAUCCAGACUUCAGUCCCCAGUCAGGAGGUGCUGGGGCUCCCAGGAGCUGUGGGGCAGCCCCCAGAGCAGAGCACCCCCACGGAGCUGAGCCAGCUGCGGGGGAGCCCAGCAGAGGUAGAUGGCAGCAAAGCCUAUUUCUUGUGGCAGCCGGGAUGUGACAGCCCCGUCGCUGCUCCGUCACCAUCCAGCCAAGCACUGCAGCGGUAUUUAACGGCAGUCCAGUCCUUCAUUCUGCCCACGGUCUGCUUCACGCCGCAUUUCCAUGCAGUUUUGGAGGCACAUCACCCCACUGUCUCUUACCAAUGCUCAAGAUGCCCAUUCCCAGGAUUUGGGCUCCAUUAUGAGUGGCUCAGCCUCAGCCUGUCACCUUUCUACUUGCGUCGUUGGACACCUGAUCAAAUUGCUCCCUGGAUCCCUCCGACUUCUCCAUGUGCAGCAUAGCGACUCGUGAUGCUCUGUCCCUACAGCGCCC